rnacentral:rRNA from 1 species
AGCUCCAAUAGCGUAUAUUAAAGUUGUUGCAGUUAAAAAGCUCGUAGUUGAAUGUUUGGUUUGGCUGAGUGGACUUGCCUUGCGGUAAGUUCUUCUUCAGUUGAGCCUUUCCUUCUGGGGAACUAUGGUGCACUUUAUUGGGUGCUAUAGGGAUCCAGGACUUUUACUUUGAAAAAAUUAGAGUGUUUAAAGCAGGCAUUUGCUUGAAUACAUUAGCAUGGAAUAAUAGAACAGGAACUCAGUUCUGUUUCUGUUGGUUUUCGGAACCGAGGUAAUGAUUAAUAGGGACAGUUGGGGACAUUAGUACUGCAGUGUCAGAGGUGAAAUUCUUGGAUUUCUGCAAGACUAACUUCUGCGAAAGCAUUUGUCAAGGAUGUUUUCA